AGCGAACGCUGGCGGCAGGCCUAACACAUGCAAGUCGAGCGAGGACUUCGGUCCUAGCGGCGGACGGGUGAGUAACGCGUGGGAACGUGCCCCUUGGUACGGAAUAGCCCCGGGAAACUGGGAGUAAUACCGUAUGAGCUCUACGGAGGAAAGAUUUACCGCCAAGGGAUCGGCCCGCGUUGGAUUAGGUAGUUGGUGGGGUAAUGGCCUACCAAGCCGACGAUCCAUAGCUGGUUUGAGAGGAUGAUCAGCCACACUGGGACUGAGACACGGCCCAGACUCCUACGGGAGGCAGCAGUGGGGAAUCUUAGACAAUGGGCGCAAGCCUGAUCUAGCCAUGCCGCGUGAGCGAUGAAGGCCUUAGGGUUGUAAAGCUCUUUCAGCUGGGAAGAUAAUGACUGUACCAGCAGAAGAAGCCCCGGCUAACUCCGUGCCAGCCGCCGCAGUAAUAC
rnacentral:rRNA from 1 species